AUACGUAGGUGACAAGCGUUAUCCGGAUUUACUGGGCGUAAAGGGCGUGUAGGCGGUCUUGCAAGUCAGAAGUGAAAUUCCUGAGCUCAACUCGGGCGCUGCUUCUGAAACUGCAGGACUUGAGUGCUGGAGGGGAUAGCGGAAUUCCAAGUGUAGCUGUGAAAUGCGUAGAGAUGUGGAGGAACACCGAUGGCGAAGGCAGCCCCCUGGGCCAAUACUGACGCUCAGGCACGAAAGCGUGGGGAGCAAACAGGAUUAGAUACCCUGGUAGUCCACGCCCUAAACGAUGAUCACUGGGUGUUGGGGAAGCGAUUCCUUGGUACCGUAGCUAACGCGUGAAGUGAUCCGCCUGGGGAGUACGGUCGCAAGAUUAAAACUCAAAUGAAUUGACGGGG
rnacentral:rRNA from 1 species